rnacentral:lncRNA from 1 species
GUCUGAAAUCAGGAUGGCUCUUAAGAGCUUUCAAAAGAGGCUCUGCAGGUGCUAGCCAGGGAACCUAACAAGUUGCUUUUGCUUGCGUGUGUGCAUGUGGCAACUUUACCAGGCCCAGAAGGGAGGUGUUCACUUCAUUUGAUUUAGUAUCACUGGGAGCACCACUGGUGCACGCUAUCUCAAUUUAAUUUAGAAGUGUCAUUGUAAAACAGCAACAAAAAUAUUUUCAAACGGGUUUCCCCCAUAGUGCAGCAUUGAAACAGAGUUACUGUGAAUACAGAAGACUGUCUAUCCCACAGCAGGCAAUGCAAUUAAAGACUUCAGAGAAUGCCAGAUUUUUCAGAAUGCAUCAUAGAAUUUUCAAAGCUGUAAGAAAGAGGUGAGGAUGCUGAGAUGUAGAGAGACUGAUUUGCUCAAGAUAACAAAGAGUUUUAUUGAUUUGGGAACCCAUGGAAGGGGGUCAGCUGUGAGAUAUCACAUGAUCAGACUGACUGCCUGACCAGACUGACUGCCAUCCUGUUAAAGGAAUGAAUCACAGUUCAUCUCGCAGAUUUAUGGCAUGCCUACAGAAAAAGUACCUUAUGAUGCAAACCUGAAAGUUUAAAUAAUCUCCUGAAAGUUCCACAAUCAGCUGCAGAGAACUCCAGGAGCUGUUUUUAAAGAAGAUUAAGAUAUUGCGGGUAACACGUGUUCCAUAUCAUCUGAUAUUAUACACAGGAAGAAGGUAAACUUAUUAAUUAAAAAAGUCUUGCAAAAGGAACUUGCAGCCUGCAUUAUGUUAGUAGUUGGUUGCUUUUUAAAUACGAAAGAAAAAAGAGUAAAUUAUGUACUCCUGAAAAUUUGAUCCUUGUUCUUAUGGGAAAAUAUGGCAAAACAUAGAAACUCUGUUAAUGGCAAAACUUAUUAGGAUAAGGACUCCUCGCCUGGGGUUCAGGGAA